GAUGAACGCUGGCGGCGUGCCUAAUACAUGCAAGUCGAGCGAACAGAUGAGGAGCUUGCUCCUCUGACGUUAGCGGCGGACGGGUGAGUAACACGUGGAUAACCUACCUAUAAGACUGGGAUAACUUCGGGAAACCGGAGCUAAUACCGGAUAAUAUAUUGAACCGCAUGGUUCAAUAGUGAAAGACGGUUUUGCGGUCACUUAUAGAUGGAUCCGCGCCGCAUUAGCUAGUUUGUAAGGUAACGGCUUACCAAGGCAACGAUGCGUAGCCGACCUGAGAGGGUGAUCGGCCACACUGGAACUGAGACACGGUCCAGGCUCCUACGGGAGGCCGCAGUAGGGAAUCUUCCGCAAUGGGCGAAAGCCUGACGGAGCAACGCCGCGUGGGUGAUGAAGGUCUUCGGAUCGUAAAACUCUGUUAUUAGGGAAGAACAAAUGUGUAAGUAACUAUGCACGUCUUGACGGUACCUAAUCAGAAAGCCACGGCUAACUACGU
rnacentral:rRNA from 1 species